UAACACUUCAUAGUCAAUGUGAUGUGCAUGAGUUGGUCGAGAAUGAUUUAAUCAAUUGGGAUAGAAAUGAUAUUGCAGGAGAAACUAUCCAAAUGGAUGUUCUACUAUCACGACAAGAAAACAUUGUUGAAAGAGAUAAUGAAUUCAUUCAUGAUGAUGAUAUAGAUGAUGUGUAGCUAAUAAUAUUGGAAAUGUCACAUCGAAGAGGAAGAGUACAAAUAGUGUCUUCAGAAGAUGAGUUGGACAAUCUACAACAACUCUUAGACAUACAACCUGCUGCAACUACUACUCCUAGUAGUUCUGAUCCUUCUGAUUCUUCAGAUCCUUCUGUUGUUGGAAAAAUAUGAACUAGAAGAAACAUGUAAGAGCUACAUUCUUCAAUGUUGUGGAAAUUUGUUUAGAAGCUAUAGAAAUAAAAUGAAGGCCAGGUAUUAUAACCCUUAUAAUAUAGAUGAGGAGAGAUUGUGCCAUCGACCUCCACACUUAUCGGAUGAUGAUUGGAGGUGGCUCAUCCACUUUUGGGGUACACCUGAGGCCAAGGAUAUCUCAGAAAAAAAAAAAAAAAACAAGGCAAAUAGGGCAAAACAAGUGAUAAAGCAUACAUCGGGAUCAAAAAGUUAUGCUCAAAUUCGAUA